ACUCCUACGGGAGGCAGCAGUGGGGAAUAUUGCACAAUGGGGGAAACCCUGAUGCAGCGACGCCGCGUGGAGGAAGAAGGUCUUCGGAUUGUAAACUCCUGUUGUUGAGGAAGAUAAUGACGGUACUCAACAAGGAAGUGACGGCUAACUACGUGCCAGCAGCCGCGGUAAAACGUAGGUCACAAGCGUUGUCCGGAAUUACUGGGUGUAAAGGGAGCGCAGGCGGGAGAACAAGUUGGAAGUGAAAUCCAUGGGCUCAACCCAUGAACUGCUUUCAAAACUGUUUUUCUUGAGUAGUGCAGAGGUAGGCGGAAUUCCCGGUGUAGCGGUGGAAUGCGUAGAUAUCGGGAGGAACACCAGUGGCGAAGGCGGCCUACUGGGCACCAACUGACGCUGAGGCUCGAAAGUGUGGGUAGCAAACAGGAUUAGAUACCCUGGUAGUCCACACCGUAAACGAUGAUUACUAGGUGUUGGAGGAUUGACCCCUUCAGUGCCGCAGUUAACACAAUAAGUAAUCCACCUGGGGAGUACGACCGCAAGGUUGAAACUCAAAGGAAUUGACGGGGGCCCGCACAAGCAGUGGAGUAUGUGGUUUAAUUCGACGCAACGCGAAGAACCUUACCAAGUCUUGACAUCCCUUGACGAACAUAGAAAUAUGUUUUCUCUUCGGAGCAAGGAGACAGGUGGUGCAUGGUUGUCGUCAGCUCGUGUCGUGAGAUGUUGGGUUAAGUCCCGCAACGAGCGCAACCCUUAUGGUCAGUUACUACGCAAGAGGACUCUGGCCAGACUGCCGUUGACAAAACGGAGGAAGGUGGGGAUGACGUCAAAUCAUCAUGCCCUUUAUGACUUGGGCUACACACGUACUACAAUGGCGUUAAACAAAGAGAAGCAAGACCGCGAGGUGGAGCAAAACUCAGAAACAACGUCCCAGUUCGGACUGCAGGCUGCAACUCGCCUGCACGAA
rnacentral:rRNA from 1 species